GAUGAACGCUAGCGAUAGGCUUAACACAUGCAAGUCGAGGGGCAGCAUGGUCUUAGCUUGCUAAGACUGAUGGCGACCGGCGCACGGGUGCGUAACGCGUAUGCAACUUGCCUCACAGAGGGGGAUAACCCGUCGAAAGACGGACUAAUACCGCGUACACUUGGGAUAGGGCAUCCUGACCCAAGGAAAUGAAAUUCGCUGUGAGAUAGGCAUGCGUCCCAUUAGCUAGUUGGUGAGGUAACGGCUCACCAAGGCGACGAUGGGGAGGGGAACUGAGAGGUUGAACCCCCACACUGGUACUGAGACACGGACCAGACUCCUACGGGAGGCAGCAGUGAGGAAUAUUGGUCAAUGGGCGAGAGCCUGAACCAGCCAAGUCGCGUGAAGGAUGACUGUCUUAUGGAUUGUAAACUUCUUUUAUACGGGAAUAACAAGAGUCACGUGUGGCUCCCUGCAUGUACCGUAUGAAUAAGCAUCGGCUAACUCCGUG
rnacentral:rRNA from 1 species